rnacentral:lncRNA from 1 species
CCCAGGCUAGAGUGCAGAGGCACCAUCUCGGCUCACUGCACCCUCACCUCCCAGGUUCAAGCGAUUCUCCUGCCUCAGCCUCCCAAGUAGCUGGGAUUACAGGUGCAUGCCACAACACCUGGCUAAUUUUUGCCUUUUUAGUAGAGACGAGGUUUCACCAUGUUGCCCAGGCUGGUCUGGAACUCCAGACCUCAUGAUCCGCCCACCUCAGCCUCCCAAAGUGCUGGAAUUACAGGCGUGACCCACUGUGCCCAGCCCAGUGUUCUAUUUUUAUGAUGACCAAAAAACCUAAGUCAAAAGGUAUUUGUUGACUCAUACAUUCCAAGUGUCCAUGGCUUCAGGCUUGGCUGGUUCCAGGGUUUCAAUGAACUCAGGAUUUAAUCGCAGCAGAAAAGUGACAGAGAGGGAAUAUUAUUGGCCACAGUGAGGUCACAUGCCUAGCCCUGGACCAAUCACUGUGCCCAAGGGGAUGGAAUAUGGUAAUUGCCCAGGACUGAAUUACAUGUGCAACCUUGGGGCUGGCAGAGAGGUCAGCCCCAUCUACAUCACAUAGCCUGACAGUGAGGGAGGGCAGCCCUCCCAAAAUGCAAGACCUACACUUUGAUCCUACAGCUCAGUAAACCCCAAUUUUGUUGUUGUUGGGUUUGUUUUUUAGUUUUCUUUUUAGGCAAGAUCUCGCUCAGUCGCCCAGGCUGGAGUGCAAUGGUGCGAUCUCAGCUCGCUGCAACCUCUGCCUCCUGAAUUCAAGCGAUUCUCCUGCCUCAGCCACUUGAGUAACUGGAACUACAGGCACCCAAAACCACGCCCAGCUAAUUUUUGUAUUUUUAGUAGAGACAGGGUUUUGCCAUGUUGGCCAGGCUGGUCUCCUAACCUCAAGUGAUUCGCCUGCCUUGGCCUCCCAAAGUGUUGGGAUCACAGGCAUGAGCCACUGUGCCCAGCCUGGGGUUUUUCUUUAAAAAAAAAAAACAAGGUCUCACUCCGUCUCCCAAGCUGGAAUGCAGCAAUGCAAUUAUAGUUCACUGCAGCUUCAACCUAGACUCAAGCGAUCCUCCUGCCCGUGUCCCAAGUGGCUGGGAUGACGGGCAUGCAGCACCACGCCCAGCUGCGGAAUUCUCUUCCAGCGUGUCGGGAUCUCGUCAUUAUGCUUCCCUGGCUGAGAGGAGGAAACCUCGCCAUUAUCAGUGCAGGCUUCCGGCUAGAUGGGGUUUUGCCAUCCUGCCCGGGCUAGUCUGGAACUUCUGGGCUCAAGUGACCUGUCUGCCUCAGCCUCCCAGUGCUGGGAUUACAGGAGCUCGUGCAAGAACAGCUAAGACCAUUCAGUGGUUGCUGCUACCCAUUCACUGGCCUGAGCAGUGGGAGCUGCAGACCGGUCUUCCGUGGCAGCCUGAGCACUCCAGUCUUCAGUAG